GCCUGUUUGGCUCAGUCAGUACAGCAUGUGACUCUUGAUCUCAGGGUCGUGAGUUCAAGCCCCAUGUUGGGCA
rnacentral:tRNA from 1 species